rnacentral:rRNA from 1 species
GGUCCAUUUAGAGGAAGUAAAAGUCGUAACAAGGGUUUCCGUAGGUGAACCUGCGGGAAGGGAUCAUUAUCGAAUUCAGAAGGGCUUGGGGUUGUAGCUGGUCUUUCGGGGACAAGUGCUCGCCCUUGCUCUUUCCGACACACCCUGUGCACUCCCGCGUGGGGCUGCGGUGACUUCGGUUGCCGUGCCCGCGAUUUUAUACACUCUUUGUAUGUCUCAGAAUGUCUUUGCGUGUUGCGCAUCUAAUACAACUUUCAACAACGGAUCUCUUGGGCUCUCGCAUCGAUGAAGAACGCAGCGAAAUGCGAUAAGGUAAUGUGAAUUGCAGAAUUCAGUGAAUCAUCGAAUCUUGAACGCACCUUGCGCCCCUUGGUAUUCCGAGGGGCACACCUGUUUGAGUGUCGUGAAUUUCUCAACUCCGCCUCCUUUGCGGGAGCGCGGGGCUUGGAGUUGGAGGCUUGCGGGCGUAAGUCCGCUCCUCUCAAAUGCAUUAGUGAAGCCCAGGGGGGCCUCGGCGUGAUAAUUGUCUACGUCCAAGGUUGUCUGUAGCGGUUUUCGCUUCUAACCGUCCUUCGGGACAAUUCAUCGAAACU